ACAUUGGUAGUUCAGUGGUAGAAUUCUCACCUUCCAUGUGGGAAACCUGGAUUUGAUUCCUAGCGAAUACA
rnacentral:tRNA from 1 species